rnacentral:lncRNA from 1 species
GAAAAUCAGGCCGACGAAGCUAAACACGAACAGACCCGUUAACAAAGACCACGUCGGAACCUCGAUUCUGCCUGAAAACAUUGAACUACGACUUCAAAUGACAUCUACACCUCAAUUUUGAUACAACUGAGCAGAAACAGAUUUCAACAAUUUCGCCGACUAUCGCCAGUUUUCGAUUCAUUCGACGUCGAUGGUGCAACUCCGGCGAAAUAGUGACAGUAGAAGGGGAAGAAAGGACAGGAACAACGAUUAGGCGCAGGAGUCACAGUCAUGACCAUCGUGAAGCCCCG